ACCUGCCUGUAAGACUGGGAUAACUCCGGGAAACCGGAGCUAAUACCGGAUAAUAUGUCAAACCGCAUGGUUUGACAUUCAAAGACGGUUUCGGCUGUCACUUACAGAUGGGCCCGCGGCGCAUUAGCUAGUUGGUGAGGUAAUGGCUCACCAAGGCAACGAUGCGUAGCCGACCUGAGAGGGUGAUCGGCCACACUGGGACUGAGACACGGCCCAGACUCCUACGGGAGGCAGCAGUAGGGAAUCUUCCGCAAUGGACGAAAGUCUGACGGAGCAACGCCGCGUGAGUGAUGAAGGUUUUCGGAUCGUAAAACUCUGUUGUCAGGGAAGAACAAGUGCCGGAGUAACUGCCGGCACCUUGACGGUACCUGACCAGAAAGCCACGGCUAACUACGUGCCAGCAGCCGCGGUAAUACGUAGGUGGCAAGCGUUGUCCGGAAUUAUUGGGCGUAAAGCGCGCGCAGGCGGUUUCUUAAGUCUGAUGUGAAAGCCCCCGGCUCAACCGGGGAGGGUCAUUGGAAACUGGGAAACUUGAGUGCAGAAGAGGAGAGUGGAAUUCCACGUGUAGCGGUGAAAUGCGUAGAGAUGUGGAGGAACACCAGUGGCGAAGGCGACUCUCUGGUCUGUAACUGACGCUGAGGCGCGAAAGCGUGGGGAGCGAACAGGAUUAGAUACCCUGGUAGUCCACGCCGUAAACGAUGAGUGCUAAGUGUUAGAGGGUUUCCGCCCUUUAGUGCUGCAGCAACGCAUUAAGCACUCCGCCUGGGGAGUACGGUCGCAAGACUGAAACUCAA
rnacentral:rRNA from 1 species